UACCUUGAAAUAUAUAAUUUAAUUCCUCCAUAGUACCUACAAAUCCCACUUCUUCAAAUGCUCUUGAAAUAAAUUCAUUUUCAUUCAAUUCUUUAUUUUUUUAAUUUUUGCUCAAUAUUUUUAAUAUAUUAUUUAUCCAUAUUUUUCACCUUCUCAAUAGUCUUAAAAGACAAUAUACAAUCUUGUGUCAAUCCAAUAAGUGCAAU
rnacentral:lncRNA from 1 species